rnacentral:rRNA from 1 species
AACCCAAUGUGAACGUUACCAAACUGAGGCUCGUAGAUGCUCGUGAUAGUGAUGCGUCGCAGCCCCGGAACCAGGCGCCCGCCGGAGGAACCAACCAAACUCUUUCUGUAGUCCCCUAGGCUCGUAAGUUCUCGUAGUUCUGAGCAGGCUCUGAGAUCGGCCUGUAGAUGCCAACAACGGAUCUCUUGGUUCUGGCAUCGAUGAAGAACGCAGCGAAAUGCGAUAAGUAAUGUGAAUUGCAGAAGGGCUCGCUGGAUAGUGCUCGCUAACGCACAUUGCGCCCGCCAGUAUUCUGGCGGGCAUGCCUGUCCGAGCGUCAUUUCAACCCUCGAACCCCUCCGGGGGAUCGGCGUUGGGGAUCGGGACCCCUCACACGGGUGCCGGCCCCGAAAUACCAGUGGCGGUCUCGCCGCAGCCUCUCCUGCGCAGUAGUUUGCACAACUCGCACCGGGAGCGCGGCGCGUCCACGUCCGUAAAACACCCAACUUUCUGAAAAUGUUGACCCUCGGAUCAGGUAGGAAUACCCGCUGGAACUAAGCGUUGUUCUAUAUAAGCUGAAGAAUGCCGGCGCUGAGGAUGCUCGC